rnacentral:rRNA from 1 species
GAUGAACGCUGGCGGCGUGCCUAAUACAUGCAAGUCGAGCGAACAGACGAGGAGCUUGCUCCUCUGACGUUAGCGGCGGACGGGUGAGUAACACGUGGAUAACCUACCUAUAAGACUGGGAUAACUUCGGGAAACCGGAGCUAAUACCGGAUAAUAUAUUGAACCGCAUGGUUCAAUAGUGAAAGACGGUUUUGCUGUCACUUAUAGAUGGAUCCGCGCCGCAUUGGCUAGUUGGUAAGGUAACGGCUUACCAAGGCAACGAUGCGUAGCCGACCUGAGAGGGUGAUCGGCCACACUGGAACUGAGACACGGUCCAGACUCCUACGGGAGGCAGCAGUAGGGAAUCUUCCGCAAUGGGCGAAAGCCUGACGGAGCAACGCCGCGUGAGUGAUGAAGGUCUUCGGAUCGUAAAACUCUGUUAUUAGGGAAGAACAAAUGUGUAGUAACUAUGCACGUCUUGACGGUACCUAAUCAGAAAGCCACGGCUAACUACGUG